UAGCCGUAAACGAUACUCGCUAGGUGUCGGCCACGGUGCGACCGUUGUCGGUGCCGUAGGGAAGCCGUGAAGCGAGCCACCUGGGAAGUACGGCCGCAAGGCUGAAACUUAAAGGAAUUGGCGGGGGAGCACAACAACGGGUGGAGCUUGCGGUUUAAUUGGAUUCAACGCCGGAAAUCUUACCGGGACCGACAGCAACAUGUAGGCCAAGCUGAAGACUUUGCCGGAUUAGCUGAGAGGAGGUGCAUGGCGUAGUCGUGU
rnacentral:rRNA from 1 species